rnacentral:rRNA from 1 species
GGGAUAGCCCAGGGAAACCUGGAUUAAUACCGGAUGAGACGGGACCCGCGAUGGCGGGACCCGGGAAAGGCGCUGCGGCGCCGCCGGGGGAUGAGUCUGCGUCCCAUUAGCUAGACGGCGGGGUAACGGCCCACCGUGGCGACGAUGGGUAGCCGGCCUGAGAGGGUGGACGGCCACAUUGGAACUGAGACACGGUCCAGACUCCUACGGGAGGCAGCAGCUAAGAAUCUUCCGCAAUGGGCGAAAGCCUGACGGAGCCGACGCCGCGUGAACGAAGAAGGCCGUGAGGUUGUAAAGUUCUUUCGGGAGGGGGAACAACCGUGGCAGGGAAUGGCCGCGGGAUGACGUGAAUCCCGGAAUAAGCCCCGGCUAACUACGUGCCAGCCGCCGC